AGAAGUAUAACUCAAUUGGUAGAGUAUUAGAUUCUUAACUAAAUUAUAUUGGUUCGAGUCCAAUUGCUUCUC
rnacentral:tRNA from 1 species